UUUGUACAAUUUAUGGUUGCAUUUCAUUUUCUGUAAUACAAUUGUAUACAUAAAUACAGUCUGUAAUGACCUAUUUUUAAAUUUUAAUUGUUACUGGCUUAAACGGGUGAGUUUACUAUGCGUUUUGAAUGAUUUCCUCAUGUGUUAUUAUUAUUAAAAAAGGAAGGCAUAUUAAAAAUGAAAGAGCAAUCCAUUCUAUCCAAUGUUGGUCAAUAAGAUUUGAAAUAUUUCUUUAGCUAGUUUUGGCCAGAAAACUUUUAAAUGAGGGAUCUGAAGGUAUCUAGAGAGAAUGACUAGAUCCGUGGCGGAUCAGCUGCUUUGUAAACGGGUCCUGAACGGGUCUGCCCCGGAUCUGGUCCGGAUCCGCCAUCCUUAUCUGUUCUGGAUCCGGAGUCAAUUUGCUAUCUGGGAAGGAGCGUAACGUUGAAGGCGGCAUUUGAACCUGCAUCGAACACGGAGAUCCAUGUCGGAAGAUCGCGGUGAUUUCAUCGACCAAAAUAUCAAUAAUCUGAUGCAGAUGCAGGGUAACGUUACCAUCCAUUAUCACACUGCUGUUCAAGAUAAUAUCCCAGGAUGUAUGUCUCAGAAACAGACGCUUUGUGGGUAUAAACCCAGAAAAAGGGACAAAGGCUGCAAAGGGGAAAAAAGAAGAACUGUCAAUUCACAUGUCACCAGCCUCU